rnacentral:rRNA from 1 species
UACGAAGGUCCCGAGCGUUGUUCGGAAUCACUGGGCGUAAAGGGAGCGUAGGCGGCGUGGUAAGUCAGAUGUGAAAUCCCGGGGCUCAACCCCGGAACUGCAUCCGAUACUGCCGUGCUAGAGGAUUGGAGAGGUAGCUGGAAUUCUUGGUGUAGCAGUGAAAUGCGUGGAGAUCAAGAGGAACACUCGUGGCGAAAGCGAGCUACUGGACAAUAUCUGACGCUGAGGCUCGAAGGCCAGGGUAGCGAAAGGGAUUAGAAACCCGAGUAGUCC